rnacentral:rRNA from 1 species
AUUGAACGCUGGCGGCAGGCUUAACACAUGCAAGUCGAGCGGAGAUGAGGUGCUUGCACCUUAUCUUAGCGGCGGACGGGUGGGUAAUGCUUAGGAAUCUGCCUAUUAGUGGGGGACAACAUUCCGAAAGGAAUGCUAAUACCGCAUACGUCCUACGGGAGAAAGCAGGGGAUCUUCGGACCUUGCGCUAAUAGAUGAGCCUAAGUCGGAUUAGCUAGUUGGUGGGGUAAAGGCCUACCAAGGCGACGAUCUGCAGCGGGUCUGAGAGGAUGAUCCGCCACACUGGGACUGAGACGCGGCCCAGACUCCUACGGGAGGCAGCAGUGGGGAAUAUUGGACAAUGGGGGGAACCCUGAUCCAGCCAUGCCGCGUGUGUGAAGAAGGCCUUAUGGUUGUAAAGCACUUUAAGCGAGGAGGAGGCUACUGAGACUAAUACUCUUGGAUAGUGGACGUUACUCGCAGAAUAAGCACCGGCUAACUCUGUGCCAGCCGCCGCGGUAAUAC